rnacentral:rRNA from 1 species
CAGCAGUAAGGAAUCUUGCACAAUGGGGGAAACCCUGAUGCAGCGAUGCCGCGUGAGUGAAGAAGGCCCUUGGGUUGUAAAACUCUUUCGUCGGGGAAGAAAAUGACUGUACCCGAAUAAGAAGGUCCGGCCAACUUCGUGCCAGCAGCCGCGGUAAUACGAAGGGACCUAGCGUAGUUCGGAAUUACUGGGCUUAAAGAGUUCGUAGGUGGUUGAAAAAGUUGGUGGUGAAAUCCCAGAGCUUAACUCUGGAACUGCCAUCAAAACUUUUCAGCUAGAGUAUGAUAGAGGAAAGCAGAAUUUCUAGUGUAGAGGUGAAAUUCGUAGAUAUUAGAAAGAAUACCAAUUG